AGCUUCGGCAUAUAUUGUGUCCAA
rnacentral:siRNA from 1 species